rnacentral:tRNA from 1 species
GGCUCCAUAGUGUAGUGGUUAGCAUGUGUGCUUUACAUGUAGGAGGUUCUGAGUUUGCACCCCAGGUGGAGCCA